UACGAAGGGGGCUAGCGUUGUUCGGAAUUACUGGGCGUAAAGCGCGCGUAGGCGGUGAUCUUUGUCAGAGGUGAAAGCCCGGGGCUCAACUCCGGAAUUGCCUUUGAAACGGGAUUGCUUGAGUCCGAGAGAGGAUGGCGGGAUUCCUAGUGUAGAGGUGAAAUUCGUAGAUAUUAGGAAGAACACCGGUGGCGAAGGCGGCCAUCUGGCUCGGUACUGACGCUCAGGCGCGAAAGCGUGGGGAGCAAACAGG
rnacentral:rRNA from 1 species